GGGCGAGUGGCGGAAUGGCAGACGCAAAGGACUUAAAAUCCUUCGUCCCAAAGACGUGUGGGUUCGAGUCCCACCUCGCCCACCA
rnacentral:tRNA from 1 species